GGCCUCCAAGCUGUGCCUUGGGUGGCC
rnacentral:misc_RNA from 1 species